rnacentral:lncRNA from 1 species
UAUGAGAUUGAAAAGGGGAAGAAAAAAAGGCAUCCAGAAAUAGAGAGAAUUUUCUGGGAAGAGCUAAAAAUCAGUCCAUAAGAUCAUUUUUGAGGGUGGAGAUUUCAGCUUUAGGUUCCCCUUGAGAUUUAAAUGAUACUUUAAAAUAAAGAGGGAAAGUUGAAAAAGAAUAAUAUUGUUUCAUUGAAGUGAAAAUCGCUAGAACCUUUUCUCUUUCUACUUCUGUUAUGUACUUGAAAUUAAAAUACUUGGAGUAGUUUAUAGGUUUUGAUCUGUUUGUUUGAAUCAAAAUUCAAUACCAAUUGGUUUGCUCAAAGUUGUGUCUGGAUUCUACUGGGUUCAUACUAUUCCUGGUUUGGUUGAGUUAAGCUCUGGGCUGUUGUUGAUAUCUGACCGUUACUGCUGUUCGUUGAUUGCUGAUUUCUGUCGCUUACUGCUGUUGAUCCUUAAUUUUCUGGGUUGUUAACACAUUUCCAGGUACAUACUUUGAACCAGUUAUGGUGUAUAGUUCCUAUUGGAUGUAGAAUGAAAAAUGCUCACCGUUUAUAUCCUGAAUAAUACGUGUUCAAUAUGUCCUAAUAGAGUAAAUACUAGAUGAUUUAUAUUUGUUCAGGUUUACUGUUAACUUGUGGUUACAUUGUACUAUUGGACUGUUAAUUAUAGGAUUGUAUUAAGUAGGUCCGUUUGGAUUCAUUUUGUAUAGGGCUGUUAGUAUAACAUCUGGAGAGACAAAAGGCGUACUAUUCUAGUUUUAUUCUCUAUGUGAGUGUUAACGCGAUUAUCUGCUCGUAUGUACAUGCUCGUUUGUAAGACUCUCAG